UACGUAGGGGGCAAGCGUUGUCCGGAUUUAUUGGGCGUAAAGAGCGUGUAGGCGGCCACACAGGUCAGCUGUGAAAACUCGAGGCUCAACCUCGAGACGUCGGUUGAAACCGUAUGGCUAGAGUCCGGAAGAGGUGAGUGGAACUCCUAGUGUAGAGGUGGAAUUCGUAGAUAUUAGGAGGAACACCAGUGGCGAAGGCGGCUCACUGGUCCGGUACUGACGCUGAGGUGCGAAAGCGUGGGGAGCAAACAGG
rnacentral:rRNA from 1 species